CCACACUUUCAUUAACAGCACAACUCAUAGUAUAUUUACAAUACUAUUUACAACAUAAAAGUCUCACACCUAUCUACACUAAGACAGGGUGCACAAAAGGGAUGGGAUCUCAAUCCACAUCUGGGUUGUAUUCAAGAUCCCUCUCUGGAUCAUCUUCUACUUCAAAAUACUUUCUCCCCUUCAGGUUCCUCUUCCUUAGCUUCUCCUCAGGUUCCUGAAAUGGUUAUUCAAUAACCAAUGAGACCACGUCUCAGCGAGUCCUACCCCCUACGACUCGAUUAGUAAACUAAUACACCAUACGGUUGCCUAAGCACAACACGAGUCAGAGGACUUACCUUAGCCUCAGUUCCAACCUGCAAUUCAAGGUUAAACACAUACAUUCAAACAAUUCACGACAUCCGAUCAAGCACUGGUCAAUCGACUAAGUCGAUUACAUGUCAAUUAGACCCUCUCUAGGUCAUUCCCACUCAUACCACGCUUUCUCAGUGGUGUACUCAUUCACCAAAUCACAUGUGUUUCUCGGGCGUCGUUUUCGCCAAUGACAUACCGAUCACCGACACCGUGCGUUCUUUAAGGCGCCGUUUUCACCAGUGAUAACCUUGAUCACCGAACCACGUGUCCUUUCAAGGGCGUCGUUUUCGCCAAGGUGACAUCGGCUAUAGACAACAUCGUGCGUUCUUUAAGGCGCCGUUUUCACCAGUGAUAUUCCCAUAAUCACCGAACCACGUUUGUCUAUAAGUCAUUUACGUGCGUUCUUUAAGGCACCGUUUUCGCCAGUGAUACUUCCAAUCACCGAACCACGUAUGUCCAAUAAUAUCGUACCUGAUUGGUCUCACCAUUCUCCCUACUAUAUAGCCCAUAAACGUACUGGCGCUAUAUACUCAUGCUCGGCCAUUACCAAUCAAAUACUCAAUAACAAACAAUUUGGGACAAUUCCUCAAAUUUCACAAUUUAAAUCAAUUCCAUAAAAAUUGAAGCUCAAUUAAAUAAACGGACUGCACCACGACAAUCGGCACGAAAUUCCGGUCACCGGCCAUCCCGGUUGAAUUUCCGGAAAAGUAAUUAAUUAAAUAAAUAAAUUUCGAAAAUAAAUAAAUAAACAUUGAAAAUCCAAUUUAGGCCCAUAUUGCCUUAUUGGAGCCCGAAACGGGUCGGGAAAAAUCCCGAGAUACAUUCAAUAAAUAACCAAACAUUUCUACUUGCUAAUAGCUAGGUCUAACCACCUAACAUGCAUCAUUAAGUCACUAAACUAAUUGUUCUAACUUAAUCUAACCACCUAAGUGCAUGUAAUUAAAUCUAACCAACCCUAAGGCAUAAUUAGCAAACUAAUAAAGCUUUAGUGAGUAAAACUCACUUGAUCAAAAGUGGGGAUCGAAUCACCGCAACGGCGACACGACGGCGGCCGAAAUCGGACUUUCGACGACACCGGCGGACUUGGACCGGGCCUUAAGCUUAGGCCCAACAAAUCUCAGUCCAAUUGAGAUUUGUUCUUGCACUGGAAUGGGCUGGACCUGCUGAAUUUCUGGACUGAACUAACUGCGCUAGCUGAACUGGGCUUGCUGGUCUUGUGCUGAAUUCGGUGGCCCAAAGGACUGAAGCUCACGGGCUGGGCUUGCUGCAGGGCUUGUCUUCAGCUAGUUUGUUGGACUGAAGAUCACAUGUGCUGCUGAGCUGGGCCUGGCGACAGAAAGACGUGGGCCUAUCUUCGGUCUUCGUGGCUUCAAAUCAAGACUCCGUAGGCUUCGCUGGGCCAACGAACAGGCAGAAGAAGCAGCUUCGGCGUCCUGAUUCGUGGAGAUGGGCAAGCUGAAGGAGUCCGCACGGCUGAAGACUGAGCAGACGUGAGAGAUGUGCUGGCCGAGAGAAGCAAGGGGGGGUUGCGCGGCGUCUGCUGGCUUUGGUCUUCAGUUGCUCCGUUGAAGACAAGCCGAAGUAGAGAAUUCUUCGUGGGACUGCUGGUCGUGGAGACUUCGGUCAACAAACGGUGGAGGAGAGGGCACCUUUGACUGGAUCGUGUGCACGUGAGGUGGUUUAAAUCAACAGGGCUUCGGUGGAAUGAACUUCCGCAGCUACUGGACGCGUGGAGAUGGUCUUCAAGCGGUCAACAAGUCGAUUUUGCUGGACUCUUCCGUUGACCAGGCAUGGGGAUCUCGCUGGAACGAGCUGGAGAAUUUUCGAGCAGCUGCUGGCGGGGAGAUCUCAUUCGGUGGAAGCUGCACGCGGUCUCCGUUGCUGAAUGGUUGACCGAAGAUGAGGAUGAACGAACGCGUGGCAGCCUGCAGGGAUCUCGGUGGAGAAGAAGUUGACUGGAGGAGCAGCUUCGUGGGGACGUUGGCAGCUGCGGUUUCGGUGGAGGGAGGACGUGGCCUUUC
rnacentral:lncRNA from 1 species